AUUGAACGCUGGCGGCAUGCCUUACACAUGCAAGUCGAACGGCAGCACGGGUGCUUGCCCCUGGUGGCGAGUGGCGAACGGGUGAGUAAUACAUCGGAACAUGUCCUGUAGUGGGGGAUAGCCCGGCGAAAGCCGGAUUAAUACCGCAUACGAUCCACGGAUGAAAGCGGGGGCCCUUCGGGCCUCGCGCUAUAGGGUUGGCCGAUGGCUGAUUAGCUAGUUGGUGGGGUAAAGGCCUACCAAGGCGACGAUCAGUAGCUGGUCUGAGAGGACGACCAGCCACACUGGGACUGAGACACGGCCCAGACUCCUACGGGAGGCAGCAGUGGGGAAUUUUGGACAAUGGGCGAAAGCCUGAUCCAGCAAUGCCGCGUGUGUGAAGAAGGCCUUCGGGUUGUAAAGCACUUUUGUCCGGAAAGAAAUCCUUGACUCUAAUACAGUCGGGGGAUGACGGUACCGGAAGAAUAAGCACCGGCUAACUACGUG
rnacentral:rRNA from 1 species